UAGGGAAUAUUAGUAAUGGGCGCAAGCCUGAACUAGCAACGCCGCGUGUGCGAAGAAGGCCUUCGGGUUGUAAAGCACUUUUUGAGAGGAUGAGGAAGGACGGUACUCUCAGAAUAAGUCUCGGCUAACUACGUGCCAGCAGCCGCGGUAACACGUAGGAGGCGAACGUUAUCCGGAUUUACUGGGCGUAAAGCGCGUGUAGGUGGUUUGGUAAGUAGGGCGUGAAAGCUCCUGGCUCAACUGGGAGAGGACGUUCUAAACUGCCGAGCUUGAGGAUGGUAGAGGGAGGUGGAAUUCCGGGUGUAGCGGUGGAAUGCGCAGAUAUCCGGAGGAACACCAGUGGCGAAGGCGGCCUCCUGGACCACUCCUGACACUCAGACGCGAAAGCUAGGGUAGCAAACGG
rnacentral:rRNA from 1 species